GGUAACCAGAAAGACUCCUGACUGUGGGUAAAGAGAUCUGAGGUUUGGUCUCUGGUGCCAUCACUCAUGAGGGAACCUUGGGCACAUCUCUAGUCAGCUUCAGGUUUCCUUCCCCAUCUAAGUCUGCUAAGAGAGUCAGGAAGAAAGUCCAACAGGAGCUUUGCCAGUUCUGACAUUCUAUCACAUGAAUGCACACAGCUGGGUGGCAGCAUUCUGGUCUCAUCUCUUAGUCACAAAGGUACUCCACUGUAUCAGAAUAUUUUCCUUGGCUGUGACCUCAGGCUAGGCCACAGGUCAGGACAGAAGAUAACACAGGCAAGUUCAAAGGUAAUUGGACGAGGAGUUUUAAGCACGGCUGUUCCUGUGGCAAACUGCUUCAUGAAUACCCAUCGGGAUCUCUCCAUAUGGACAGCAGAAGAGAUCCUGCUGUUCUUUUGCUAAUAAAAACUGUUGUGAUUACAUUUUC
rnacentral:lncRNA from 1 species